GUCCCAUCUAUAUAUUGCCGUCCUUGGAAAAAAAUGCCGGAAAUCGAAAAAAAAAAUGGCAUUAGGUGUAUUACUACGUUUUUCCUUAGGACGGCAGUAUUUUUAAUUGUCUAUACCUACAGAAAAAAUACUGUACCUAUAACAAUAAUUUUAGUUAUCCACCUCAUAAAAUUAUUAUAUAUUAAUAUAAUACAUAGUAAAACCAAUAGAUCCCUCGCUACGUUACGAACCUAAAAGGCAUCAAAAUUAGCGACCCAACCUAAUCCAGCUCUACAACAUAUAUAAACAUACAUAAUAAUAAAUAAAUAAGCACUUACCUAUAAAUUGUAAAUACUUCGGUUUACUAUACAUAAUAUAGUACCUACUACUCGAAUUAAUUAUAGGAUUUAAUUAGAUUUUAAACAGUUAGAUAUUACUUAAUCCUAUAUCUAUAUA